UACGUAGGGCGCAAGCGUUAUCCGGAAUUAUUGGGCGUAAAGAGCUCGUAGGCGGUUUGUCGCGUCUGCCGUGAAAGUCCGGGGCUCAACUCCGGAUCUGCGGUGGGUACGGGCAGACUAGAGUGCAGUAGGGGAGACUGGAAUUCCUGGUGUAGCGGUGGAAUGCGCAGAUAUCAGGAGGAACACCGGUGGCGAAGGCGGGUCUCUGGGCCGUUACUGACGCUGAGGAGCGAAAGCGUGGGGAGCGAACAGG
rnacentral:rRNA from 1 species